rnacentral:rRNA from 1 species
UACGGAGGAUCCGAGCGUUAUCCGGAUUUAUUGGGUUUAAAGGGUGCGCAGGCGGUCUGGUAAGUUAUAGGUGAAAUUUCGGUGCUCAACAUCGAAACUGCCUGUGAUACUGCCGGGCUAGAGACCAGUUGCAGAAGGCGGAAUGUGUAGUGUAGCGGUGAAAUGCUUAGAGAUAUGGAGGAACACCAGUGGCGAAGGCGGCUUCCUGGUCUGUAACUGACACUGAGGCGCGAAAGCGUGGGGAGCAAACAGGAUUAGAUA